rnacentral:rRNA from 1 species
AACGAACGCUGGCGGCAUGCCUAACACAUGCAAGUCGAACGAUAAGCCAUUUCGGUGGUGGACAGUGGCGCACGGGUGAGUAACACGUGGGGACCUGCCUAGUAGUACGGAAAAACAGUUGGAAACGGCUGCUAAUACCGCAUACGCCCUUCGGGGGAAAGAUUUAUCGCUAUUAGAUGGACCCGCGCUAGAUUAGCUAGUUGGUAAGGUAACGGCUUACCAAGGCGACGAUCUAUAGCUGGUUUGAGAAGAUGAUCAGCCACAUUGGGACUGAGACACGGCCCAGACUCCUACGGGAGGCAGCAGUGGGGAAUAUUGUACAAUGGGCGAAAGCCUGAUACAGCAAUGCCGCGUGAGUGAAGAAGGCCUUAGGGUUGUAAAACUCUUUCGCCAGGGAAGAUAAUGACGGUACCUGGUAAAGAAGUCCCGGCUAACUCCG